AAUCCAUAGGUUAAUGAGGCGAACCGGGGGAACUGAAACAUCUAAGUACCCCGAGGAAAAGAAAUCAACCGAGAUUCCCCCAGUAGCGGCGAGCGAACGGGGAGGAGCCCAGAGCCUGAAUCAGCAUGUGUGUUAGUGGAAGCGUCUGGAAAGGCGCGCGAUACAGGGUGACAGCCCCGUACACAAAAGCGCAUGUGCUGUGAGCUCGAUGAGUAGGGCGGGACACGUGGUAUCCUGUCUGAAUAUGGGGGGACCAUCCUCCAAGGCUAAAUACUCCUGACUGACCGAUAGUGAACCAGUACCGUGAGGGAAAGGCGAAAAGAACCCCGGCGAGGGGAGUGAAAAAGAACCUGAAACCGUGUACGUACAAGCAGUGGGAGCACAGGUUUACCUGUGUGACUGCGUACCUUUUGUAUAAUGGGUCAGCGACUUAUAUUCUGUAGCAAGGUUAACCGAAUAGGGGAGCCGGAGGGAAACCGAGUCUUAAUUGGGCGUUAAGUUGCAGGGUAUAGACCCGAAACCCGGUGAUCUAGCCAUGGGCAGGUUGAAGGUUGGGUAACACUAACUGGAGGACCGAACCGACUAAUGUUGAAAAAUUAGCGGAUGACCUGUGGCUGGGGGUGAAAGGCCAAUCAAACCGGGAGAUAGCUGGUUCUCCCCGAAAGCUAUUUAGGUAGCGCCUCGUGAAUUCAUCUCCGGGGGUAGAGCACUGUUUCGGCUAGGGGGCCAUCCCGGCUUACCAACCCGAUGCAAACUGCGAAUACCGGAGAAUGUUAUCACGGGAGACACACGGCGGGUGCUAACGUCCGUCGUGAAGAGGGAAACAACCCAGACCGCCAGCUAAGGUCCCAAAGUCAUGGUUAAGUGGGAAACGAUGUGGGAAGGCCCAGACAGCCAGGAUGUUGGCUUAGAAGCAGCCAUCAUUUAAAGAAAGCGUAAUAGCUCACUGGUCGAGUCGGCCUGCGCGGAAGAUGUAACGGGGCUAAACCAUGCACCGAAG
rnacentral:rRNA from 1 species